rnacentral:lncRNA from 1 species
AAAAGCCGGUCAAAGGAGAACAAGAAGGGGGCAUCCUGGGAGGCUGCUCCCAGGAAAAAGCCUGGUGGGAGGGCAGGGGCCUUGGACACGGGGACCCAGCUCCCCACCUCCCCACCUCAGAGAGGCCUGGGAAAUCAUUCCUGGCAGUAGCCUGGCCUUGCCCGUCGGACAGUAUUAGGGAGGGUGAGGGAAAACACUUCGUGGUCAGGUCAGUUUGGAAAACUUCCUGUAAGGUGGUGUUUGUUUCAGAGCUUUGAUGAGGCCGAUGCACAGUGCGAAUUUCCAGAAGCGGGCUCGUCAAGCUUUCCAAUUUGAGUCUUCAGCUAUCCAGAAGCUGUGAAGGGGCAGCCCCGUCACCAGACACAAUCCUUGCAAAGGGACAGCCUCCAUCAGCCUCCAUGGAAGACUGACAGACCCACACAGGGGAGAAUAAAUCAACCUGCAAAUGAAGCAUUCAGCCAGCUUGGGAGUUCUGCUUUCCAUUUUAAAUUAAUACACCGGCCUUCUGGUUUGUACAUCGGUUGUCCUCCCGUGGGUCUGGCUGGUAGGCAUUGGUUUCUGAGGGGCUGGCUGU